AACGAACGCUGGCGGCAGGCCUAACACAUGCAAGUCGAGCGAGACCUUCGGGUCUAGCGGCGGACGGGUGGGUAACGCGUGGGAACGUGCCCUUUUCUACGCAAUAGCCUAGGGAAACUGAGCGUAAUACCAUAUACGCCCUUUGGGGGAAAGAUUUAUCGGAGCAGGAUCGGCCCGCGUUGGAUUAGGUAGUUGGUGGGGUAAUGGCCUACCAAGCCUACGAUCCAUAGCUGGUGUGAGAGGAUGAUCAGCCACAAUGGGACUGAGACACGGCCCAGACUCCUACGGGAGGCAGCAGUGGGGAAUCUUAGACACUGGGGGCAACCGUGAUCACGCCACGCCGGGUGAGUGAUGAAGGCGUUAGGGUUGUAAAGCUCUUUCAGAUGGGAAGAUAAUGACGGUACCAGCAGAAGAAGCCCCGGCUAACUCCGUG
rnacentral:rRNA from 1 species